UUCUGAUUCAGUUCUGUCUGUAUUCCUCUCCCCAGAAAACAUCCAACUUUGGAAACUUUCCAGUCAGAAACUUUCAAAGUUGAUACAAACCUGACAAACAUGUUGCUAUGAUAAAAAGAAGUAUGUUAGUAACCAUAAGAACAGUAUGAGAAGAACUGGUAUCAACAAAUCUGCAGUCGCAGGCAAAAAAAGAUCAUUCUGAGCAAACUCAUCACUACAUGUAGGUCUUCUAGACGGACACUGGAAAUUAAGGAGCUGAGUCAUCCUCUCAAAUUCUGCGACUAUUUUCUUCAAAUUAACUUUCUACAUGGUAUCAGACUGAUACAGAGUCAGGUGGGGGUGCUGCUGAGACCUGCGGCAACAGCAAAGAAAAACAACAGCUAAGGGACUUAUUUCUCAAUAAUGAAUGAGAAAUGACUCCUUGGUUCUGAAAUGAAAUAUCUCUGAAAGUGCCACAUUUCCUAGAGGCUGUAUAACUCAUAUUUAUAUGGCCAGUUCAGUACCUUUCUGAACAAAUCACUGCUGAGGAAAACAGGGAUACGUGGAGCAGAGGAAUCCCUGCUGUUGUCUGUGACUUCUGCAAAUGGGAAGACAGGCGGCUUCCAGUUCAUGGCAGUGUAGCUUCAGUUCUGGAAGGCACAAGUAUGGAGUCUUCAACAGCUCCCUGUUUUUCCAUCUUGCUGGAAUGAUAAAGGUAUUCAGCAAUGUCACAGAGAUUAUUUUAUAUAUGCUGCAAAUGGUGUUAACCGGCGGUGGAAAUUGAGAUGGUACCUGUAUCUUCUUCAGUUACUGGUGGCUUCA